rnacentral:rRNA from 1 species
AGUGAACGCUGGCGGUAGGCCUAACACAUGCAAGUCGAACGGCAGCACAGUAAGAGCUUGCUCUUACUGGUGGCGAGUGGCGGACGGGUGAGGAAUACAUCGGAAUCUACUUUUUCGUGGGGGAUAACGUAGGUAAACUUACGCUAAUACCGCAUACGACCUACGGGUGAAAGCAGGGGAUCUUCGGACAUUGCGCGAUUGAAUGAGCCGAUCUCGGAUUAGCUAGUUGGCGCGGUAAAGGCGCACCAAGGCUAAGAUCCGCAGCUGUUCUCAGAGGAUGAUCAGCCUGACUGGACCGCAUACACGGUCCACACUCCUACGGGAGCCAGCGGUGGGGACUACUGCACCAUGGGCGAUAGCCUGACUCCGCCAUACCGCGUCGGUGAAGAAGACCUUCCGAUUGUAUGACUCUUUUGUUCGGCAUGACCAGCAGCAGGUUAAUUCCCCGGUGUUCUGACCCUCUCCAAACAAUAAGCACCGGCUAACUUCGUG